CCUACGGGUGGUAGCAGUGAGGAAUAUUGGUCAAUGGCCGAGAGGCUGAACCAGCCAAGUCGCGUGAGGGAAGACGGCCCUACGGGUUGUAAACCUCUUUUGUCGGGGAGCAAAGCGAGUCACGUGUGACUCAUUGAGAGUACCCGAAGACAAAGCAUCGGCUAACUCCGUGCCAGCAGCCGCGGUAAUACGGAAGGUCCGGGCGUUAUCCGGCUUUAUUGGGUUUAAAGGGAGCGUAGGACGCAUGUCAAACGUGCUGUGAAAUGUCCGGGCUCAACUUCGGAAUUGCCUCUGAUACUGUUCGGCUAGAGAGUAGUUGCGGUAGGCGGAAUGUAUGGUGUAGCGGUGAAAUGCUUAGAGAUCAUACAGAACACCGAUUGCGAAGGCAGCUUACCAAGCUACUUCUGACGUUGAGGCACGAAAGCGUGGGGAGCAAACAGGAUUAGAUACCCUUGUAGUC
rnacentral:rRNA from 1 species